GAUGAACGCUGGCGGCGUGCCUAAUACAUGCCAGUCGAGCGAACGGACGAGAAGCUUGCUUCUCUGAUGUUAGCGGCGGACGGGUGAGUAACACGUGGAUAACCUACCUAUAAGACUGGGAUAACUUCGGGAAACCGGAGCUAAUACCGGAUAAUAUUUUGAACCGCAUGGUUCAAAAGUGAAAGACGGUCUUGCUGUCACUUAUAGAUGGAUCCGCGCUGCAUUAGCUAGUUGGUAAGGUAACGGCUUACCAAGGCAACGAUGCAUAGCCGACCUGAGAGGGUGAUCGGCCACACUGGAACUGAGACACGGUCCAGACUCCUACGGGAGGCAGCAGUAGGGAAUCUUCCGCAAUGGGCGAAAGCCUGACGGAGCAACGCCGCGUGAGUGAUGAAGGUCUUCGGAUCGUAAAACUCUGUUAUUAGGGAAGAACAUAUGUGUAAGUAACUGUGCACAUCUUGACGGUACCUAAUCAGAAAGCCACGGCUAACUACGU
rnacentral:rRNA from 1 species